GACGAACCGUGCGAACGUUAUUCGGAAUCACUGGGCUUAAAGCGCGUGUAGGCGGGAGGGUACGUCCGUCGCUGAAAUCCCCCGGCUCAACCGGGGAACGGGCGCGGAUACGGCCUUCCUGGAGGGGCGUAGGGGGACCUGGAACUUCCGGUGGAGCGGUGAAAUGCGUUGAGAUCGGAAGGAACGCCCGUGGCGAAAGCGAGGUCCUGGACGCCUACUGACGCUGAGACGCGAAAGCCAGGGGAGCGAACGGG
rnacentral:rRNA from 1 species